AUUGAACGCUGGCGGCAUGCUUUACACAUGCAAGUCGAACGGCAGCGCGGGCUUCGGCCUGGCGGCGAGUGGCGAACGGGUGGGUAAUGCAUCGGAACGUGCCCAGUAGUGGGGGAUAGCCCGGCGAAAGCCGGAUUAAUACCGCAUACGACCUGAGGGUGAAAGCGGGGGACCGAAAGGCCUCGCGCUAUUGGAGCGGCCGAUGUCGGAUUAGCUAGUUGGUGGGGUAAAGGCUUACCAAGGCGACGAUCCGUAGCUGGUCUGAGAGGACGACCAGCCACACUGGGACUGAGACACGGCCCAGACUCCUACGGGAGGCAGCAGUGGGGAAUUUUGGGCAAUGGGGGCAACCCUGAUCCAGCCAUGCCGCGUGCGGGAAGAAGGCCUUCGGGUUGUAAACCGCUUUUGUUCGGGAAGAAAUCCUCUGGGCUAAUACCCCGGGGGGAUGACGGUACCGGAAGAAUAAGCACCGGCUAACUACGUG
rnacentral:rRNA from 1 species